rnacentral:lncRNA from 1 species
AAUAGAACAAUUUUCAAAGUAAUGUACGUGGAAGUACCAAGCAACAAUAUAAAGCAACAUCUGUGAAACUUGGAAGUACCAACCACCUCUAGCAUGAGAAAAAAGUAAGAGCCUUAACCUUGUCCCGAAAAGCCAUAUAAUUUUAAUUAACUUUUCAAUACAAACUAAGAAAAUAAAAUCUUGAUAAUCAAAUCUUAUGUCUAAUAUGCAUAUUUUGUCUUUAGUGUCAUGAAAUCUUCAAACUUCGAUGUGCUUAUCCCAAGACUUUCCUUCCAUAUUCUGUAAAAAAAUGUAGUGAGAAAUUAUAGCAUAGUCAAUCGCUCAAAAUGUAAAAAAUUUAAAAACUACAGGGGUUCAAAUAUGUUCUCAUCAGAAGCUAAUUCCAAUAAUUAAUGAUCAUAAUCAGGAAAGAAACCCACCAUAAUCAAGUUACAAACCAACCACUACGUACAUCACAAUGCUUAGUUAUGUCACGUUACUGACAGAGUAUGUCUCAUUCCUUUUUAGAUUCUAAUAAGCUUGUUGAUGCAUUCUUACCUUACACUUGAAUAUUUCUCAUAGACUUCUUUUGUGAAAUGAAAGUUAGGAAGUUGGAAUUAAACCACCAUAUAAAAGUUCAAAGUUUUCAAGAUGCUCCACAAUGAAUGGGUUUAACAGGUUAAUUCUUCCUAAUUUCAUCUGAACCAUCUUAAAAUUCUUAAUAGUUCCUGAACGAAACCAUAAGGAGCUAUUGUUAGUGAGAAAAUGGGCAAGAAUAAAAUUGAACAAAGAGAUAAUGUCAAUCUUCUUUUAGAGUGCAUCAAUCGUGAAGAGCUGUAGAAAUUUAGAAGAGUAACUAUGUUGGAUAAUGAAUGAGUGAGCAAACUAAUGAAAUACAAUACAUACACGCUCACAAACCUGUUCCUGAAGUUCUGAUUCUGCAUUAUUUAGCACCCUACAUCAUCAUUAGAUAAAGGAGAACAACAUAAUAGCUUUCAGAGUUUCAACAACCAUACUACAAACACAAUACAAACACACUCACAAACGAUUAAAAGGCGCAUGACAAAAUUUAAGAACUCACACAGGAGAGAAGCAGAGUUGUGAAAAUCAUGUGGCUGAACCAAUCCUCUUCAAUUCCUGUCAAGAAAAAUUAAAAAAAUGUCAAGAAAGAAAUAAAAUACUGAUGAACCCUAAUUU